CCUUGGGAGGAUGACCUAAGGCUGCUUUCUCCCAUCCUGACUUCCUCUACCCAGCACUGUAACUACACGUACAAUUUGCUGGUUCUUCUAAAGGAUGACUGACUGGUGCUGCGAUGUGGUCUUCAGGCAGCCAGGGGGGAUCUCCAUAUGAGUCUAGCUGAGGAGAGAAAUGAAAACAGAGGAAAGUCCAGUAGAAGACGGGGAAGAGAGAUGAGCUGGCACUGAGGAAGUAAGAGUUUCAGGAAAAGCUAUAUAUAUGUAUGUACAUCUUCAUGAUAAACAUCUGGAAGAGUACAUAAGAAAACAUGAUGGCAGUUACAUUUGGAGAGUGAAACAAGAGGUCUGUGAUAGUGUUUUUGGCAGAAUUGGUCUCCCAAACUGGAAGAGCUUCUCUGUAUUUAAUUUCCUCUCAGGAAGUUUACCUUCAGAAGUCCAAGUGUGAGGUCAAGCUUUGGGUUGCCGGAAAUGGUAAUGUCCUUUACUGUCUGAGCACCCAGACGACUCUUAAUGAAACAUCCUACUCUAUGGACAUUGCUGCUUCUGCUGCUGCUGAAUUAUGCAGCCUGCUCUUGUGCAUAUCUCUCCUGCAGUGGCUGGCCUUAUUUCUGCACAGUGCAUGGAUCAGAAUCUGGGGGGAUGCAGACAGCACGCACUGAAAGACCUAAAUGAAUGUGUAAGAAUGACCACAAGGCACCAGACGUGGGUGUAUUUAUCCGUUUCUCUCAUUACUAAGAGGUUUUAGUUCCAAAAAAUAUCCGGAAGGAUUUAGUUUCGGGGAAGUGGGGAGGGAGAAGGAGUGGAAUAAGAUUUUUGAAAUUUUAAACAAUU